UCUCUCACUCAAAACUAAUGCGAGAAGGCAUCCCUCAUAAAGAAAAACAGCAGUUCUAAUCAACCAACAGGCUGGUCUCUUCAUCAAAUGAGGGGGAGUUGCAGCUGGUUUGAUGGAAUCAGCUUGCACGGUGACGCUGUAACAAGUCGUUUCCUACAUUAUGUUGGAACACCAUGGUUUUACCUUUCCUUGUUUUACAUUGUAUUUUUCUUGUUUAACAUCUUAAAUAAAUAGAGGUUCAUAUCUGAAAAGAAGUAGACAAAAGAAUGAUAGUUUUUGCUUGCAGUUUAAAACAAUUCAGUAUUUCACCUCUUUGUUACUGCUCUGCUAGAAACAGUCACUAUACCAAAAAUGAUCUUUAACGGCAAU
rnacentral:lncRNA from 1 species